CCUACGGGCGGCAGCAGUGGGGAAUAUUGGGCAAUGGGCGCAAGCCUGACCCAGCAACGCCGCGUGAAGGAAGAAGGCUUUCGGGUUGUUAACUUCCUUUGACAGGGAAGAGCAGAAAACGGUACCUGUCGCAUUAGUCACGGCCCACUACGUGACAGCAGCCGCCGCAAUACGUAGGUGGCAAGGGUUGUGCGGAUUUCCGGGGUGUAAAGGGCGUGUAGCGGGGCUGACAAGUCAGUUGGGAAAUACGGGGGCUCAACCCCCGUACUGCAUUUGAAACUGUUGGUCUUGAGUAUCGGAGAGGCAGGCGGAAUGCGUGGUGUAGCGGUGAAAUGCGUAGAUAUUAGGAGGAACACCAGUGGCGAAGGCGGCCUGCUGGACGGCAACUGACGGUGAGGCGCGAAAGCGUGGGGAGCAAACAGGAUUAGAUACCCUAGUAGUC
rnacentral:rRNA from 1 species